rnacentral:rRNA from 1 species
UACGUAGGGUGCAGGCGUUAAUCGGAAUUACUGGGCGUAAAGCGCGUGUAGGCGGAUUGUUAAGUCGGGGGUGAAAUCCCGAGGCUCAACCUCGGAACUGCCUUCGAUACUGGCGAUCUUGAGUCCGGGAGAGGUGAGUGGAACUCCGAGUGUAGAGGUGAAAUUCGUAGAUAUUCGGAAGAACACCAGUGGCGAAGGCGGCUCACUGGCCCGGUACUGACGCUGAGGUGCGAAAGCGUGGGGAGCAAACAGG